CCCCUCCCUCCCACGCGGGUCUUGGCGUCUUGCUCGGGUGAAGGCAGGCGCGCUGUGGCUCGGUGGCUCAAGAUCCCCAUGGAGCUCCAUCACUGCCGCCCGACCUCAUCUCGCCUAGCAUUUGUGUGUGCGCACCUGCUUUUGGGCGGUUAGCGAAACGAAAGUAAAGACACUAAUGUAAGACAGCUCAAGCGAGUCUAGCCUGAGAUAUAAAAUCACACUAGCCCUGCCCUCUCUCCACCGCUGUUUGUGGUGCGCCGCCCGGGGUCGUCGGGGUCGUGGCCGUCCGCCUCCAGUCCAGUCUCGCUGCUAGCUCCGCGCCACUACGACCGCGCCCCUCGGUGAAAUACAUGCACGACAGCAACCAACAAUCGAUGCCGUGUCUGGAUCCGCUCGUCUCCAUCGGCAACGUCGCCUCUCGGUCGAUCUCCACCGUUUCAGGUUUGCAGUCAACAAGCACAUAAUAGAAGCGUUUCAGGUUUUUUGCAGUUUCAGAGUGCCAACAUCCCGCUUUUACUUGCUUCAUGUUUGUAAUAGUUUCAUAUUUGCAGUUUGAUUCUAAACUACUCAAAUGUUUUCCACUGCAAUCGUGUGGCUGAUUUUCUUAGACAUCUGUAUAUGUCUAUCCACACUAUAUAAUUCUUGCUAAAAUUGCCUGGAUCUCAUUACAAACCAUUCAAAGUGAUUUAAUCUCAAAAUUUUAGUAUUGUGUUUUUUUAAUGUGCACGUGCUCCAUUAUGCACAUUUUGUGCUAUUUUCUUUGUUUGAUCAAAUUCAUGGGUGUUAAAGCGCUGCUUGUUUCCAUGUCAAAAACUAGAGUUCAUCUAUUUAUUAAGAAAUCCUAGUUUUAUCAGUAUUAAUUUGGGUCAAAUUUGAGUGCAUUAAAUUGGAACAGAUGGGAGUACAUAUUCAGAUGUUAUCAAAUAGCAUCAUUCUACUUUUGGCAGGUAUAAAAACAAAUGAACAAUGGCCAGAAUUUCGAAUUUGAGCUCCAAAAGAUAUUAAUGGAUUUGGUGCCUGCAUUGUCAGGUUACAGGCUUGGAUUUGUCCUUCAAUAUAUAUGUUUGGUGCCUACACACAAAUAUAAUGUCUCAUAUUAACCGAUUUACUAGCAGUUUGCUUAAUUGACUCUAAAACAAAACCAUGAGCUUCUUGAGAUUGGUAACCUGUCACUAUUAAAGUUCUUUUUGGUUAGAUGUGUAGUGCACACUAUUUGUUUCAGCAACCAACUAGUUGCACUUCAUAAUAUAUGCCAAACCAAGAACCAUAGUGAAUUCAGGCCUCAUGAUCAUGUUCGUUUGAAGGAAAAGGAAUCUGACUUCCAUGCUUGUCUGGAUAACAAAUUCAGUUUCAAGGUAUGCACUGGGUCAUUUAGAUUAUAUUUUAUGCACUACAGUUUUGUAUCUGACUCUCUGACUUCCUACCAGCAGUCUAACAACAAGCCUGACCACAAUGAAAUUCCUGCAGGAUGCAUUCAACACCUCCUUACUUUUCCUGUUUAAAUUUUAUUUUUUUAGUUGUCAAUUGGUCUGUGCAGUGUUGAGGAAUUUGGAACUGGAACAAGAGGAGAUUCUAUAUACAAUUAUUGCACAAUGUCAUUGAUUGCAGGCUAGGAGUACAAACUUGGUUGCACAGCUGAAGGAGGAUAACGGAUGACUUGCAGUAGAAGAAUAGCAUGGUAAAAAAAUCCCAUUUUUUCUUCUUUCUAAAAUCCUAACAUUAUCUACUGGAUCGAACCAUUGUUCUUGUCGAUAAGAUCAAAGUCUCACUACUUCACCAUUUCUAUCGAUCAUGUUUGAAUUUAGUUUCUGUGAUCAUGGUUUCAUUGUUGUGAGCAUUCUAAGCCCCUGUGAUUCAUUGUUAUUUUGCGGAUCCCUCUCUUGAUGGGGAUUGCUCGUGCAUGAGCUAGCUACAGCCAGCUGUCAUUGGCCUCCUCCAUCGAUUUCUACCUGUAGCUAAUCUGUUGUGGUUGCCAACGGGUGUGUCUGCAAGAUCAAGUUCUCAACACUUCCCUCUCUUUUUUCGUGCGCACGCUUUUCAAACUACUAAAUGGUGUAUUUUUUACAAAAAAGUUUCUAUACAAAAGUUAUUUAAAAAAAAUAGCUAAUACUUAAUUACUCACGUGCUAACAGACCGCUCUGUUUUCCGUGUAUGGGAGAUGGGUUCCCAACACCCACCUCCAAACACAAGUCCUGCCCAUAACUCCGCACAGAACUUCUAAGGUUGUCGGUGCCGGUGUCAUCAUCGGCUACUAUUUGUCCUUUGCAGAUGCAACUGGAGCAGCGAGUCUACUUUUUUUAAUUGUAGAAUCAUAUGUGUUUGUGCCCCUGAGUCUUUGUAAACAUGUCUGUAGUUUUAUAGUCGACAAAAAUAUGGUUGUAAUUUAUUUUGGCUAUAUCGAUUUGUUGGUAAAUAUUUUACUCCAGCAGUCGGGAAGUAACUUAUUUCAAUGAGAGAAGAUUGGAGUAAAUUUUGUGGCUAAGCAGUCUGGGAGAAAUUUAUUUUCUAA